rnacentral:rRNA from 1 species
UACGUAGGGGGCAAGCGUUGUCCGGAUUUAUUGGGCGUAAAGAGCGUGUAGGCGGUCAGGUAGGUCCGUUGUGAAAACUCGAGGCUCAACCUCGAGACGCCGAUGGAAACCAUCUGACUAGAGUCCGGAAGAGGGGAGUGGAAUUCCUGGUGUAGCGGUGAAAUGCGCAGAUAUCAGGAAGAACACCCGUGGCUAAGGCGGCUCUCUAGUACGGUACUGACGCUGAGACGCGAAAGCGUGGGGAGCGAACAGG